rnacentral:tRNA from 1 species
AUUCAAGUAGUUUAUUGAAAAUAUUGACUUGUGGAGUCGGAGAUGUAGAAAUACCUUGAGUA